GCAGCUCGAGUUGCUGGACUGGACUGGCAGUGGCGGUAGUAGAGGAGUAGGUAUGUCGCGCGAGGUGAAUGCGCGCCCGAUCACUUCAUUCACUUGUCGGUCGCCGUCUAUCGGACAUGUUUUGCGUUCAUGUUCGCCUCCAGUUCUCGUAUACAAUUACAUUUCGUCGAUUAUUAUUUCAACGUAAACAAAAUAUAUGGCACGAUCUUUGGGGAUAUUCAGUGGUAUAAAUAUAAUUGUAUUAGCGAUCAGUGAGUUUUUGGUGCUCUCUGGUGAUUCGCGGGAAAUGUAUCGUUGCCUGACCGGCCAUUGAAAAGUGCAAACCAACUCUGCCACUGCCGCUCCCGUUCGAGCAUUUUUUUGCACGCGAAAAGGAUCUACGCUUUACAAUUUCACGGAUGAGAUGACGGUCGCCGGACAGAGAUACGUAGACUGCACAGUAUUGAAUGCAAGCAGUAUGCCAGACGCUGAAGAUUCCUCAUAUGACAGUGAUUACGAAGCUGAAGAUUUAACAACGACAACAAUGACGCCAAUGAUGACAACGACAACGAUUGCACGCAGUUCAGAAUCUCAAGUAUCUCCAGCAGCACAUACAGAGAUUUCUCGCACUGCAUCUGAUACUCUAGCAACUGAGUUUGCAGAGUAUGUCACUGUAGAGGAAUCUUCGUCUAUACAGAACCCUGGUUACACCGCUCGCGUAGAGUUUGCUCUAAAACUAGGCUAUACCGAAAAAUUGGUACAAGCAGCUUUGCAGAAAUUAGGUCCGGACCCUAGUCAAAACGAGCUAUUAGCCGAGUUAAUCAAGCUCGGAGCUGCUUGUAUCCCGAAAUUUACCGAUUGUCCCGAGGAAGCUGAUAAUUUACUAGAGACUGAAACGGAAAACGACGAAGGCGAAGGGUCGAUUUUGCCUUCAACGACGGUAAUGAAUAGAAUCUUAUCGACGGAUUUAAGAUCUAUUGUCAUCGAUGGCAGCAAUGUCGCUAUGAGUCACGGCAACAAAGAGAUAUUUUCCUGUCGUGGCAUCAAAAUCUGUGUUGACUGGUUCCGUGCUAGAGGCCACAAGGAGAUCACAGUCUUCGUUCCCAAGUGGCGGAAAGAAGCCUCUAGACUCGACAAUCCGGUUGCCGACCAGGAAAUUUUAAGCGAACUCGAGAGAGAUCGUUUACUGGUGUUCACACCCUCUAGAUUGGUAGGUGGAAAACGUAUGGUGUGUUACGAUGAUCGAUACAUCUUGAAGCUGGCCGCGGAAGUCGAUGGCAUUGUUGUCAGCAAUGAUAACUACCGGGACUUGGCACAGGAAAACCCUGAGUUUAGAAGGGUUGUCGAAGGGAGAAUCCUUAUGUACAGUUUUGUAAAUGAUCGAUUCAUGCCACCAGACGAUCCACUCGGUAGGAGUGGACCUACGCUGGAGAAUUUUCUCAGGAUCGCUCCCAAAAAGGUCGAUUCGGCACCUCCAUGUCCUUACGCCAAAAAAUGCACUUAUGGCAAUAAGUGCAAGUUCUGGCAUCCCGAAAGAGGACCACAUCCACAUAAAUCCGUGACGGAGCGAUUAGUGGAACAUGCUCAACGUCACUUACAAGCUCGUGGGCCCAGUCUAAGUCUACCACUACCGUCCAAAACCACAUCUAUAUCAUCUCCACAACAUCCAUCUCUCUGUAAAGCCAGAUCUGCUAUACCGCCGACAGUCAUUCAAUCUUUGUCGCCCGUUCCAAAGAGCAGAUCAGUGGAGAACGUCACAUCUGACUUGUUCUCAACUAGUCCGGUUUUAUACAGCCAACAGAUGCCUCUUGCACAGAAUAUUCAAACCUAUCCACCUACAGUGAAUUGGGCUACAUCAAGGGUGAGCAAUCCCGAGCCAGAACCAGCGAAUAUGCAUCGCAAAUUGCAGCGACAAUUGACCCUGAACCCAGUAUGCGACCCGCGACUUUAUCAACUCAGGCGACAUCAACAGCAGCAGCAGCAGCAGCAGCAACAACAACAGCAACAACAGCAGCAGCAAGCUGAUCAAUUGCAACAAUCAGUUAUCAGUCCUUCGCGCUCCAAUGUGCAACAUCGAUCAUUGACGAGACAUACUAGUAAUGAGCCGUCAUAUCCAAUUACUACCAUGAGUGAUAAUUUUUUAAUCUGCUUUAUCAAUAACUACAGAUUCAUUCGCGACUGCUAAUGCUAACUGAUGAAUCUGUAGGUAAAAAUAGAUUGAUUUAUAAAAACAGAGUGAAGGAAAUAAAAGAUGAAAUAAUAUGUAAAAAGGAAGUCAAGAUAACGAUUAAAGUAAUUUGAGACGAAUUGUGAGAUAGUGUUAGAAAAAAUGAGGGAAGAGCUUGGGGACCAUUGAGAGAAGUAAAAAGAAAUUAUAGUAAAGCAAUUAAAGAGAAGAAAAUGUUAAACGAGAUAUAACAGGAAAUUGAAGCUAUUAAAAAAUUGAUGAAAGAAAAGAUUCAGAUAUCAAAAAUAUGGCUACGGCAGUACCAAGUUAAAAAAGAAAAGCAGGGGAAUAGUGAUUUUGAGUUGUGAGACUGAAAAAGAAAUGAAAAAGUAUUAAGGUGAUGUUGGAAUCUAUUCUAUUUUACCGACAAAAUGUUAAUUUGUAGUUUUGUGUUUAUUUUUUAUUGCUUUUAUAAAAUUAAGAAUUCUUUUCAGGGAUUGAUGUUAAUAAAGGUAUAGAUGGUCAUUUUUGAUUAAAAAAAUUUUUUUUUUUAAUUUACCGACAAGCUGUCAGUUGAUAUAAAAAUUUAUUUUAUAUUAAAGUUAUACAGUUUAAAAGUACAAAAUAAGCUCAGGAGGGCAAGGAGGGCAUAUGAAAGAAUGACAGGAAACCUUUUGAAAUUAAGUUUAGAGGUUUAGCCUUAAAAAAAUAACAAAAAGUCAGAUUUAUGUAAAACAUAUACAAUAUUGAAGUAAUAACAUAAAAAGGAGCAAUAAAUAAGUUCCCGAAUAUUACAGUCAGCUCCAGCAUCACCUUAAAGGCUAUAUAGUACAAACCGAACUGGGCGAGAAUUUUAAAAUUACUGCGAGUUAUGGCAAAUGAAAUCUUAAUAUAUAAAAACAAGUGUCCUGACUGACUCACUCAUCAGUGCCCAGCUCAAACCUUUAGACCUAGAAAGUUGAAAUUUGGGGAGCGUAUACCUUACAUGGCGUAGGGGCACACUAAGAACGGAUUUUGCUUCAAUCAAUCCCUAAAAAAGUGACAAGGGAAAAAAUAUGUGUUUAUGGAUUUCUUAAUAUCUCCGAAGCCUGAUAAGAUGUAGAUUUUGCUCUUGCUUAUAACAGUUACUCAUACAAAUACCUAAAAAUCAAUUUCUGUAUUUUAUCCCAAUCAUCCCCUAAGGGGUGAAAAGGGAAAAAUGUGUUUUUACAAAUUUCUCAAUAUUUCCGAAGCCUGAUGAAAUAUAUAUCUCAUUAUUGCUUACAAAGGUUACCCAUACCUAAAAAUAAAUUUCUGCAUUUUACCCUAAUCAUCUUUUAUGUCCGGUCUGGUUGUCGCCUCAACCAUCGUGUGCAGGUAAACCGAAUAGGAAAGUCCUCUACCGUUUUGCGAUUUUCGCAAUAAUU